AUUGAACGCUGGCGGCAUGCUUUACACAUGCAAGUCGAACGGUAACAGGUUAAGCUGACGAGUGGCGAACGGGUGAGUAAUGCAUCGGAACGUGCCCGGUCGUGGGGGAUAACGCAGCGAAAGCUGCGCUAAUACCGCAUACGAUCUGAGGAUGAAAGCGGGGGACCGUAAGGCCUCGCGCGAUCGGAGCGGCCGAUGUCAGAUUAGGUAGUUGGUGGGGUAAAGGCUCACCAAGCCGACGAUCUGUAGCUGGUCUGAGAGGACGACCAGCCACACUGGGACUGAGACACGGCCCAGACUCCUACGGGAGGCAGCAGUGGGGAAUUUUGGACAAUGGGCGCAAGCCUGAUCCAGCAAUGCCGCGUGCAGGAAGAAGGCCUUCGGGUUGUAAACUGCUUUUGUACGGAGCGAAAAGGCUCUCUCUAAUACAGGGGGCUCAUGACGGUACCGUAAGAAUAAGCACCGGCUAACUACGUG
rnacentral:rRNA from 1 species